AAAAAUAUGCGGACGAAUUUAAAAAAGGUAAAACGGGUCUAAUUGGAGUGCGCUGCAAAAGCGAGGGACCUAUUGCGUAAAUAUCCAAAUUCGACGGAACACGCGGAUCCCUCGGGUCGGGUCGACGCGCGGACCCUGCUCUCUUAAAACAGCGCCGUUUUGCAAUUUAGUUUUAAAACAGUUUUUUUUAUAAAAAAAAACUUGCAGUUGAAAAAGGAAAAAAAAACCCAAAAUUCUCUGCUAGGGUUUCUUCAACCCCAGCCCCUUGCGCCGCCGAUCACCUAGACCAGUGCUCCGAUGGCGACGGAGACACCCAAUCCGGUGAAAAAGGUACGUGCUUGAGGAGCGGUGUUUGCGGAGAAACGGCAUGCGUGGAGGCCGAAACCUGCGGUGGCUGGAGACUGCUGGGGCGCUUGAGGGUGGCGGCUACUUAGGGUUUCUGAAGUUUUUGUGUUUGGGCCAUUUCAGGUGUAGUUGGGUCUGGGUUUAGCUUAUGUUUUGUAAGGGUUAUUGGGCUAGAGUUAAUUUUAUUGGGCCCGGGCAUAUUUGGGCUCUACAACUGUAUUUUUCUUUCAAUUUUUUGAAUUGGGGAAGGGGCAUCAUAUUAUUUAGAUUUUGUUUUGUUUUUUUCUUUAAAUACUCAUAUUUUUCUCGGGUAAAAA